AGCGAACGCUGGCGGCAGGCCUAACACAUGCAAGUCGAACGGAUCCUUCGGGAUUAGUGGCGGACGGGUGAGUAACACGUGGGAACGUGCCCUUUGGUUCGGAACAACUCAGGGAAACUUGAGCUAAUACCGGAUGUGCCCUUCGGGGGAAAGAUUUAUCGCCAUUGGAGCGGCCCGCGUCCGAUUAGCUAGUUUGUGAGGUAAAGGCACACCAAGGCGACGAUCAGUAGCUGGUCUGUGAGGAUGAUCAGCCACAUUUGGACUGAUAAACGGACCAAAAAUCAACGGGAGGCAGCAGUAGAGAAUCUUGCGCAAUAGGCAAAAGCCUGACGCAGCCAUGCCGCGUGAAUGAUGAACGUCUUAGGAUUGUAAAAUUCUUUCACCGGGGACGAUAAUGACGGUACCCGGAGAAGCAGCCCCGGCUAACUUCGUGCCAGCCGCCGCGGUAAAAC
rnacentral:rRNA from 1 species